ensembl:lncRNA
UCCCUCUCUCAGCUCUCUAGUAGCCUGCAGUGCCUAUUGUUCCCAUCUUUAUGUCCAUGUGUACCCAGUGUUUUGCUGCCAUUUGUAAGUGAGAACAUGUGGUAUUUGACUUUCCGUUCUGCAUUAAUUCACUUAGGAUAAUGGCCUCCAGCUCCAUGCAUGUUGCUGCAGAGAACAUGAUUUUAUAAUUUUUUAUGGCUGUGUCAUAUUCCGUAGUGUAUAUGUACAGCAUUUUCUUUAUCUAAUCCACCAUCGAUGGGCACCUAGGUUGAUUCCAUGUCUUUGCUGUUGUGAACAGUGCUAUGAUGAACAUAUGAGUGCAUGUGUUUUUUUGGUAGAAUGACUUAUUUUCCUUUGGGUAUAUGUCCAGUGAUGGGAUUUCUGGGUCAAAUGAGAGUUCUAUUUUUAGUUCUUCAAGAAAUUUCCAUAUUGCUUUCCACAGUGGCUGAGUAAAUUUACAUUCCCUCUAACACAGUGUAUAAGCAUUCCCUUUUCUCUGCAGCCUCAACAACAUCUUUCAUUUUUUGACUUUUUGGUAAUAGCCAUUCUGACUGGUGUGAGGUGGUAUCUCACGGUGGUUUUGAUCUGCAUUUCUCCGAUGAUUAGUGAUGUUCACAACAGGAUGCAAUUGGAGAAACUGGUUGUCCUAUUAAGGCUUUGACUGGAAGGGGAUAUGCUUCCUUUUAAGGAGUCAAGCUCAACUUGCAGAACUGAGAAAAGCCCCUUGGGAAACCUGGCCUCACACCCUUGUCUACACAGUCCCCAUACAGGAUUCCUAACCUGUGGAUCCAGCUCAACUAUGAUCUUUUUUGAGAAACCUCUGAUGGUCUGAGUUCUACCAAUUCUGCUACUCAUUAGUGGUAAGUUGCUUAGUGUCUCUGAGCCUUAGAGUCUGCACCUGUGAAAUGGAGACGAUAUCUACCUUGCAGGAUUGUUAUAAGGAUUGAGAUGAUGCUUAUUAAGUUAUCUGGUCCACAGUAGGUACUCAAUAAAUGGCCUUAAUUUUGAUGUGCUGAUCCCAUGUUAGGAGCUAUGGAAACUGAUGAACGAGACAGUCCCUGCCCCAGGAAGCCUCAGACUAGUACAUCACUGCCUGCUCUUGGCUCCUCUUGCCCCUUAGUGAGCUGAAGCAGAUUUUCAUAAAUGUAGAUGGAAACUUUUCUAGAUGUUUUUAGAUACUGACACCAUUAUGUCAUCCAGGUUCUCAGUUAACAUUUGAUUUAUUAACUAAUCCUGAAGAGCACCAGCACAGGUGACUGUCUUUAUUUAUUUAUUUAUUUAUUUAGAGACGGAGUCUUGCUCUGUUGCCCAGGCUGGAGUGCAGUGGUGUGAUCUCAGCUCACUGAAAACUCUGCCUCCCAGGUUCAAGCGAUUCUCCUGCCUCAGCCUCCCAAGUAGCUGGGAUUACAGGUGCCUGCCACUACACCUGACUAAUUUUUUGUAUUUUCAGUAGAGACAAGGUUUCGCCAUGUUGGCCAGGUUUGUCUCAAACUCCUGACCUCAAGUGAUCCACCUGCCGCAGCCUCCCAAAGUGUUAGGAUUACAGGCGUUAGCCACUGUGCCCAACUGUGACUGUCUUAUACUUAGUCACAAAAUGAUUUGUCCUGAAGCUUAAAGGGGCCAUAGGAAUAACUUCA